GAUGAACGCUAGCGGCAGGCCUAAUACAUGCAAGUCGAACGAUAGAAGAGGGCUUGCUCUCUUCGAAAGUGGCGCACGGGUGCGUAACGCGUAUGCAACCUACCUUAAUCAGGGGGAUAGCCCGAAGAAAUUCGGAUUAACACCGCAUAAAAUCACAGUACAGCAUUGUACAAUGAUCAAAUAUUUAUAGGAUUAAGAUGGGCAUGCGUGACAUUAGCUAGUUGGCGGGGUAACGGCCCACCAAGGCGACGAUGUCUAGGGGAUCUGAGAGGAUGACCCCCCACACUGGUACUGAGACACGGACCAGACUCCUACGGGAGGCAGCAGUAAGGAAUAUUGGUCAAUGGAGGCAACUCUGAACCAGCCAUGCCGCGUGCAGGAAGACGGCCCUCUGGGUUGUAAACUGCUUUUAUUCGGGAAUAAACCUCAUUAUGUAUAGUGAGCUGAAUGUACCGAAGGAAUAAGGAUCGGCUAACUCCGUGCCAGCCGCCGCCGUAA
rnacentral:rRNA from 1 species